GAUGAACGCUAGCGGCAGGCUUAAUACAUGCAAGUCGUGGGGCAGCGCAGGUAGCAAUACUGGGCGGCGACCGGCAAACGGGUGCGGAACACGUACACAACCUUCCGAGAAGUGGGGAAUAGCCCAGAGAAAUUUGGAUUAAUACCCCGUAACAUAACGAUGUGGCAUCACAUUGUUAUUAUAGCUUCGGCGCUUCUUGAUGGGUGUGCGGCUGAUUAGAUAGUUGGCGGGGUAACGGCCCACCAAGUCUACGAUCAGUAGCUGAUGUGAGAGCAUGAUCAGCCACACGGGCACUGAGACACGGGCCCGACUCCUACGGGAGGCAGCAGUAAGGAAUAUUGGUCAAUGGGCGCAAGCCUGAUCCAGCCAUGCCGCGUGUGUGAAGAAGGCC
rnacentral:rRNA from 1 species